rnacentral:rRNA from 1 species
AUGGCGGCUGAGGCGCUGGUGAGCAUCUCUACAGGGGUGAUCAACUCUGUCUUAGAGAAGCUAGCCACUUUAAUGGGGGAGCAGUACACAAAGCACAAGAGCAUGCAGCGAGAGGUGGCGUUUCUCAAGGAUGAGCUCAGCAGCAUCGAUGCUGUCCUCAAGAAGCUCGAGAACAUGGAAGAUGAACUGGAUCCACAGACCAGGGAGUGGAAGAACCAGGUGAUGGAAAUGGCGUUCCACAUCGAGGACUGCAUCGACGACUUUAUGCAUGAAUCUGGUGAGGAUUCUAACAGAGGAGGUGUUGGCUUUGUUGGCAAAAUUGCUCAGUACAUCAACGCGUUGAGAACGCGUCACCAAUUUGCCAAACAAAUCCAACAGCUGAAGACAUUGGUCAAAGACGUCAGUGAGCGCCGGAAAAGGUAUAAGCUUGAUGAGUGUGCCCCUAGUUCUAGCUAUGUAGUUGUAGAUCCUCGGGUGCCUGCCCUCUACACAGAGGCGGACAACCUUGUUGGCAUGGAGGGUCCAAAAGAGGAGCUUAUCAAAUUGUUGACGGCCGGGGGGACUGCAUCUGUCCAGCCUCCUAGAGUGGUGUCUAUUGUUGGGUUUGGGGGUCUAGGAAAAACCACACUUGCAAAUCAAGUAUACCAUGAGCUUGGAGAGCAAUAUGACUGCAAGGUUUUUGUGUCCAUAUCACAAACACCUAAUAUGAUGAAGCUUCUCGGUAGGAUCAUCAAAAAACUUAAGAUGCCACAACCAACCCAUACAGACAAGGCGCAAGAUCUCAUUGACACCAUCAGAGAACAUCUAAGAGAAAAAAAGGUACUUUUUCAUCAUUGA